CAGAAACCACAUGCAAUGGAGGCAGAUAAGAAAGAGUCGCAGAAACUACCUCCAAAUCCUCAGUCACUGGCUAAUAUGCUGUCAAAGUUGACAGUUAGUUGGACAAAGCAAAUAUUUAUGAAGGGAUACAAAAAAGAACUAGAAAUCAGUGAUCUCUAUUCACCUUUGGAAGAACAUAAAUCUAGUAGAUUAGGGGAUACACUAAGCAGAUGUUGGCAGUCAGAAUUAGAGAAGGCCAAACACAAAGAUAGAAAGCCGAAGCUAUUGACUGCAGUGCUGACUGGGUUUGGAAUGAGAAUGAUGAUCUUUGGAAUAGUCAUGUUCUUUGGUCAAGUAAUUUUAAGAAUAGCCCAGCCCCUUUUGCUUGCACGAAUGUUGAAAUACUUCUCACCAGAAAGUAAGAUGGGGAAGAGCGAAGCGUGGUUAUACGCCCUGGGGGUUGUGCUCUGUACCGUCAGCAGUGUCAUAGUGAACAACCCCCUCUGGCUCGGUCUACUGCACCACGCCAUGAAGCUGCGUGUCGCCUGCUGCUCCCUCAUCUAUCGCAAGUCACUACGCCUGAGCAAAGCAGCGCUAGGUCAGACUACUGUCGGACAAGUGGUUAACCUGAUGACGAAUGAUGUGAAUCGGUUUGACAUGGGUAUCAUCUUCAUCCACUACCUGUGGCUCGGACCCGUAACUACAGUAGUGGUCACUUACUUCCUCUGGCAGCAGAUCGGAGUGGCGGCUCUAGUAGGAGUGGCUGCCUUGUUGAUCUCUAUACCGGCACAGAUGUGGUUGGGAAAACAAAAAUCAUCGUAUCGCUUGAAAACAGCAAAGAGAACCGAUGAGAGAAUUCGAUUGAUGAAUGAAAUAAUAAAUGGAAUAUCAGUUAUAAAGAUGUAUACUUGGGAAAAACCUUUCGAAAAGCUCGUAGCAGAAGCAAGAAGGCUUGAAAUUAAAGAAAUACGUGGCAGUUCUUACAUAACGGGUAUCAUGUUGUCUUUCCUGUUGUUCAACAACCGUCUGGCCAUAUUUUGCUCCAUAGUAACCUACGUGUUGAUGGGAAAUUUAAUCACAGCUUCAAUAGUGUAUGUUGUGACCGAUUUCUUCACUCUCGUUCGUCAAAUGAUGUCCGACUUCUUCCCUCUGGCAAUCGGACUAACAGCUGAAAUUUUAGUUUCCAUCAAAAGAAUAGAAACGUUUCUGCUGUAUAAUGAAAUGAGAGGAAAGUCGUCUUUAGAAGAAAACGGAAAAGUUAAUUUGUCUUUCGUCAAUGAUCAAGCUGAAGGAGAUAAAGUGAAGGAUCUUCCGAGAAUAAUUGAUAGUGAAGUAAAUAACAGUUUUUCACUCAGUGUAAUACUGAAGGAUGCAUCAGCUAAAUGGAGUGACGAAACUUUUGAGGAAACCUUAAGUGACAUUAACAUUGAAUUUCCUACGGGAAAACUGACAGUCGUGAUAGGUCCAGUUGGCUCUGGAAAGUCCUCCAUUCUACAAACAAUUCUAAAAGAAUUGCCAUUAUCGAGCGGGUUUCUCCACAUAUCGGGGAGUCUCUCUUACGCUGCCCAGGAGCCCUGGUUGUUUGAAGGCAGCGUGCGCCAGAACAUACUGUUCGGCAGUCCCUACAACGAGACCCGCUAUCGUAUGGUUGUGAGGGCUUGUGCUUUACGUACUGACUUGGAGCAACUGCCUCACGGAGACCAGACCCUGGUCGGGGAUCGUGGAGUAGUCCUCAGCGGGGGUCAGCGUGCUCGAAUAAACAUGGCUCGGGCCGUUUACAGAGAGGCCGACAUCUAUCUAUUGGAUGACCCCCUGUCUGCUGUCGACACACAUGUUAGCAAACAUUUGUUUGAGCAAUGUAUAUCAGGUUAUCUGAAAUCUAAAACCGUUAUCCUGGUGACACAUCAACUGCAAUUCUUGGCUUCUGCUGACCACAUCGUCCUUCUUAGUGAUGGCAAAGUAAUAACACAGGGCUCAUAUCAAGCAAUGAAAUCUUCAGGCACAGACUUCAGUAAAAUGAUAUUUGACAACAAAGAGGAGGAAGAAGAAGAAGAAUCCAAUAAAGAGGGCACAUUCAAGAGGGCUGUGAGUCAAACAGAAACAACAAAGUACGAGGUUGUGGAAGAGGUUGAAGAGAUGAGAACGAAGGGAACAGUGUCGAGUCAAGUAUUCCGCUCUUACAUGACAGCGGGAGGUCACUGGACAUCUAUGAUGUUCCUUCUCCUCAUGUUCUGCCUUACUCAGUUUAUUGGAAGUGCAGGAGAUUACUGGUUAAAUUACUGGGUGAAUUUAGAAGAGUACGUUUACCAUAGAGAACCAAAUUCCACGACACUAAUGCCGGACUACCCCUUCUAUCUCUCUCAAACAUGGUGCAUCGUAGUGUUCACUCUACUAAUUGGAGCCACCAUCAUAGUCUCACUUGUCCGCUCGUUCCUCUUCUUCUACAUGUGCAUGCGUUCCUCAAUGUGGCUACACAACACAAUGUUCUCUUCCAUCACCCGAGCGACAAUGAGAUUUUUUCAUACAAAUCCAUCAGGUCGAAUUCUAAACCGCUUUACCAAAGAUAUGGGCUCUGUAGAUGAACUUCUGCCCAGUUCUCUUCUGGAUGUCCUGCAGAUUGGAUUGGUUGUAAUUGGAAUUGUUGGUGUACUUGUAUUGGUGAAUGCCUGGCUACUCAUUCCAACAUUCAUUGUUGCUUGCAUAUUUUAUUUCCUCAGAAAUUUCUACUUGAAGACUUCUAGAGGGGUGAAGCGGUUGGAAGGAAUCACUAGAAGUCCUGUAGUAACACAUUUAAAUGCGUCAUUGCACGGGUUAACAACCAUUAGGGCUUUUAGUGCAGAGGCUGUCCUGGAGAAAGAGUUUGAUAGUCAUCAGGAUUUACAUUCUUCUGCCUUCUACAUAUUCAUUGCCACUGCUCGAGCAUUUGGCUACUGGUUGGAUGUAGUGUGUUCCCUCUACAUUGCCAUGGUCACCUUCAGUUUCCUCAUCAUUGACAGUGCAUGGCUGGGAGGCAGUGUGGGUCUUGCCAUCACCCAGACAGUCGGUCUCAUCGGUAUGUUCCAGUGGGGUAUGAAACAGUCUGCUGAGGUGGAGAACUUCAUGACCUCUGUUGAGAGAAUACUUGAGUACACACAAGUAGACAAAGAACCUCCACUGGAAUCACCACAAGACAAAAAACCCCCUGCUAAUUGGCCGACUGAAGGUGAAGUUGAGUUCAACCAUGUGGUCAUGUCUUACGAUCCUUCCCUGCCACCUGUUUUGAAAGACGUGACAUUUGUCAUACAACCACGAGAAAAAGUUGGCGUUGUUGGCCGCACUGGAGCAGGUAAAUCUUCAUUAACUGCUGCUUUAUUUCGAUUUAAUUCAUUCAAAGGAAAAAUCAUCAUUGAUGGCAUUGAUGUGACUGAUUUUGGACUCCAUGAUUUACGGUCCAAACUCUCUGUUAUUCCUCAAGAACCUGUGUUGUUUUCUGGAAAUGUUCGCAAAAACCUUGAUCCUUUUGAUGAAUACUCUGAUCACACAAUAUGGAGUGCUUUAGAGGAGGUUGAACUGAAAGAAGUGAUAGAAGACUUACCACAAGGUUUAAACAGUAAAAUCGUAGAGGGUGGAGCCAAUCUGAGUGUUGGACAGCGACAGCUGAUGUGCCUGGCCCGAGCCAUCGUCCGUAACAAUAAGAUUUUGGUUCUGGAUGAGGCUACAGCUAAUGUAGAUCUACAGAGUUUGACCAUCCUCAUAUCCUACUGGAAAACAAGCAUGGUUAUUUGUACCGAAUGGUAGAACAGCUGGGCAGAACUGCAGCAGAAUCAUUGCAUAACAUUGCAGCCUUGAAUUACAACCAAAGCACCGUUCUAAGAAGACCAAAAUCCUCAUAGUUGUCGAAAACGCUAUAUUUAUACGCUCCGUUUUACGAACAAUAGUCCAGAUUACCUGACCUAAUGUGACGAAUAGUAGGCCAGACGACAAAUAGCCCAGAAAAUCCAAAGUUAAAUAACCCACACACCAUCUUGAGUUGGUACACGUGUCACUCCUGCUGACAAAGCAGCUAUACCAAACAGAGCUAUUUUGCAAAUUUCCACCCUAAUGUGUGCAGGCAUUGUAACAUGCAGCCAUACAUUAUGUAAGUUAUACUUACCUCUUGUGCAAUUACUGUUAACAAUGCAGUUCAUACUUACUCACCAUGUCAAAUCAUAUCGCAAUAAGCUCAACCGAUGGCAUUUACUUGUUUCAUCCUGAUUUAUAUAAUGUUGCAAUCAUGCCAGAGCUGAUUUGACUAAUCAGAAGGUCUGGAUAACCAGGGAUCUAUUGUACAUCUUAGUUAUUUAAUGAAAGAAACCAACACGUUCCUUAUUAUAAAUAAUUCUUUGUUUUCCCAUUUCUAUAAACUAGUAAUAAGAACUAUGUCAUUAAUAUUAUAUAUUGUAUUUGAAUUGUUAUAAUGAAUAAAAUCUGCAUACUGUAUGUUUAAACAUAUAUCCUACUUAUUGAUUGAUUGAGAUUUAUUCAUCUACUUUUGUAAUUAAAUCCCUGUCUAUAUAUUUAUUGCUUAAAGAUAGAGGGAUUCCUUUCCCGAAUUUAUCUAUGUAAAUUGAUUUAUAUAAAUUCAAUAAAUAAUAUUGUGUAAGAAUUGUAAACAAUUUAUUUGAUUUGAUAUUUUACUGAAUAUUGUGGGGAAGAUCAAAAGUAUAGUUGUCAUCAAGUUAUCUAUUUUUAUUUGUUUCAAAACAUCAUAACGUUUUAUUACUUCCUUAUAAGUAUUCACUGUUUUACCUUUAAAUGUUCUUUAGAGUUUUAGUACACAAAACCUUAAAUUCUUAUUAACGAAUGUCACACAAACAUUUUGGAACUGCUACUGAAGAUAUACAUGUUUUUAUUUAUAUUUAGUUUAAAGUAUUAGUUUUGUAAGUAUCAAGACUAAUAUUGUAUUAAUAAAGGCAUUUAUUUAAAUAGAUUGUUUAUUUUAGGAGUACUUUCAUCUGAUGCACUUUCCACGAUGUGCUGACACACUGGUUCUAUGCAAAUAUAAGAAAUUUGAAUAAAAAUCAGUAUUUCAAACUAUAAUUUUAUAAAGCUAAUCACCAUUAUUUUCUUACACAAAAAUAUGAUUAGUUAGAUCAUCAGAUAAAAUGAAUUUCUCAAUCAACUCUUAAUUGAUCGAGUGAAGAUGAAUAAUUAUUCUAAUCAUGGCGAGAACAAAUGAUGCUAAGACUAAAUGUUGGAGAGACUUAUAUUAAUCAGACCAAAUCUUACUGUUUUUUUAAUUUUAUUUUAGGCUUAGACUAAAAUAAAAAGGAAAAUAUUUACAUUUAA
rnacentral:misc_RNA from 1 species